GGUCCCGUAGCUCAGUUGGUCAGAGCACCGCCUUUACACGGCGGGUGUCCCCGGUUCGAGCCCGGGCGGGACCA
rnacentral:tRNA from 1 species